AUCAUAAAUAAACAGGGGGAAACAAAUAUUUUUUUAAAAAGAAAAUACUUUUUUUUUUAUCAAACAACAAUAUAAUAUGAACAGAUUGAACUGUGUUCCCUUAUAAUAAUCAAAUUGGUCCCUGUACACUGUUGAUCCUUAAAACAGACCCAUUAACCUACCCAUACCACCAAACCUGUUCCUAACCUUGCCCGUAUCACACCUCAAUAACAGAAAAAGUGUUGUGCAUAAACACAAGCUUUUUGUUACAGUACAGAUGGGUCGGAGACAGAAGAUCACAGGGUGAAGGUCCUGGAAGUAGCAGAAGAGUGGAGACGUUGAGGGCUGAAGACACACACACUCACGAAAGACACAGGAGGUAACUGGGAAUCACUGGAGACAGGUAGGUAUAGCAAUGGAAGUCCUUGAAGUCGGCAGAUAGGUAUUCCUAGUUGCGAACGAGACCGGACAGUGACUGUGUGUGUGUGAGUGUCUUUUAAGUGUUGGUGGAUGAUGGUGCUGACGAGGGGCAGGUGUGUGUGAUCAGUACUCAGGUGAGGGAGUGCGCUGUGGUUGGAUGGGGUUGGAGCCUGGCGUGUCUAUGACACUUUUAAUCAUUGUAUAAUAUCUGUCAAAAUCAUUUGAAGAUUUUCAAUAAGUGCUUGAUCAUAUGGAAUUGAAAGUUUAAUGACAUAUGUAAGCAAUUAUUUGUUUGAACAUGAUCUAAUGUUUAAUAAUUAGUUAACAUUAACAAGCACAUUAUCUCAUGUUUCGAACUCUUGUACAGGUUUAAAAAUGAAAAAAAUGAAAAGCACUUGAGCAGGUUUAAAAAUGAUCUGAUUUAGAUUUGUCCUGAGAAUAUUAACAAUACAAUAUAUUAGCCAUAUAGAAUUUAAAAAAUAUAUACGUUUAACAUGUCUAUGUAUGUGCAUUGAAUAUGUCUCUUAGCAACAAGCCUGCACAAUUGUGAGUGGUUGUAUCUUGUUCAACAAAUCCUACAAGUUGCCAGAAGGCAUUUGAGAGAAAUGUUCUCUGCUCUCUUCUGUUCAUCUCUGAAUGGCCCAGGGCUGUCUGCAUGAAGACUGCUCAUUAGCACCUGG
ensembl:lncRNA